rnacentral:lncRNA from 10 species
GGAGUGUAAUCCAAAGUGAAAGGGCAAGGGAGGUCUAGCUAGAGGGAGGGUGGCAGGGGAUCGGGGCCUGGUGUGGAAGUCAUGCGUUGCACUCAUGUGUGCAUGGACCCCAGCAGGGUAAGUGUGAGGCCACAGGCGGGACCCCAUGUGCCAUGCUUAGGGGUUCAGACAUUGUCCUGGAGAUGAUGAAGGACCCCUGAGAGUUUUAAGCAGAGUUGGGUGUGAAGAUGGAUCUGAGAGGCCAAGACCGAGCAGGGAGACAAGUCAUGAUGGUCCUGAUCCGAGACGGUGUGGGAGGUGGGAACUGACUUUAAGAUGGUGGAAAUGCAAAGCCAGGUGAUGUUUCUGGGACAGGAUUGACCAAAUCUAGUGACCUACUAGAUAUAGGGAGAAAAAAUAAGGAAAGCAUAGGGGAUCACACUGAGGGUUUGCAUUUGAGAGACUAGAGUCAGGAGGCAAGGCAGGAUGGGGGUGGAGAAGGGGAAUGAUGGGGCUGAAAUUAGACCACAGUGGUGGUGGGAAUGUGGACACUGAGGGAAGAGGAGGCAGUGAGCACACGAGUCUUUCAUGAUGUUUGGUGAUGAAGAGAAGGAGGGAUGUUCUGUAGCUUUAAAGGAUUUUUCAAAAGUAGGAGAAAGAACCUGUUUGUAAGUAGAGGGAAGAUACGGUAGAGAGGGAGAGAUCAUAGGGUGUAGAGAACUGCCAUUUGCUGAGUGGGUGCCGCUUGCAGGCCCGGAGCCAUGCCCUUAACAUGCAUAUCUCAUUUCAGCAGCAUGCCAACCCAUGGGGUAGCUCUACUUAUACCCAUUUUCUGAAUGAAGAAACUGAGGCAGACCGAUGGAUUCACCCAGGGAUGGGACUUGCUGAGCAGUUGAAGCAAAAGAAUAGAGUGACUGGGAAGGGAAGAAAAUGAAGUCAAACGAAAGCUAAUAGAAUGGGGUGGCGGAGUGCGGGGCUUAACGGGCUGAGGGGUGUCUAUAUUCCAGACGUGGGAUUUGGAGUUGUUCUGGCUAAUGUCAAAGACCACACACAAGGACAUGGACGUCAACGGUUCAUUCACAUGAGAUGACAGUUACCCAGGAUGAACCAACUGCAAAAAGCUGUCUGUGGAUGGUAACUGCAGGUGACCUGAAUGCAUGUGCCUCCUCCUUCUUUUUCCGCUUUUUGUCUUUUCCUUAAGCCUCUCUGAACAGUAUCUUCAGAAGUGUCUGUUUCCCACAGAGCAUGGUGUGUCCAAGAAAUACCCCACAUUCCCAUUGCCUUUGCUAUUUAAUGCUGUAGUUGGGAGAGGCAGUCUUGCUUUCUGCUUGCCUGUCUUUUUGGAGCACAUAUGAACUACAAAUAGAUACAGCCCACAUUUUGCCUCAAAGAUAUAUUCUUUGUUUUCUCCAAGUUGCCAAGUUGAACUCUAAGCUGAUGUUUAAUUUAUCUGUGGUAAUGAGGAACGGGGAUAGCCUUGCAUAAUUGGAAUCUGAAGAUAAGCCAAAAGCUUCUUUUAGCCAAAAUUCCUACAUCCUUUCCCACCAACUCUUUAUGCCUGUGUUGCUAACAAAUGGCAAAUUGACUAAUCUGAGUUUCACCAGUUCUUUGUGUGGUGUAUCUGACCUUUCACAAUGGGUUCAUACCAGAGUCCACUUCCAUGGUCCUUCAAGAUGUGGGUGUCUGGUUCUCAGGUAACCAACCAAAACCUUUGUACCUACCACUCAUGUAUAUUUCAGUUGAAGUUAGAAAAGCACCCCCUCAGUCUAUAGCUAACCUCUGGUGAAAUUGAGGAAUGAAUGAAUUGCUAAGCCAUCUAUAAAUAGAAUUCCGGGACAAUUCAUCUGAUGUGAGAGACAACCCUUUGAUAGGUUUCUGAGAAGAUGUGUGAAGCCACUACUCUCAAUUGUUCUUUCAUUUACUUUUUGCUAAUCAAAGCCCCAGACAUAUUCCAAAAUGUGAGAUGUUUUGGAAGAUUAACCAAAACACAAGCUGAAAUUUACCAGGGGCUCUGUAUAAAGUUAUACCCUUAGGCUUUUAUUCUCAAAGCCCUCCCAAGUACAGAAGUGUAGCAUGGGAUGAUGUGACAUAGAAUCGCAGAGUGGGAGGAGCCCACCAUACUUCAAUUCAGUGUAUCCAGAAGGAAAACUAAGGUUCACAGACUUGCUUAGGGGCUUAGUCAAGGGACUAUUUGUUCAGAACCAACAUUCAUACAAAGAGUCUUAAAUUUAAAAGGGGAUUUAUUUCAGAGAAACCUCAUGGAAACCAGUUGAAAGAGGGUUAGUGGGGACUUUCGGGAAGUGAAAAGUCGCUGGUUAAUUUCUCUGUUUCUAUCUCUGUGGGGCCUUGCAGAUUCUUUUCUUUGCUUCCGGGAGCCUUCUUCAUAUCUGCAGUGGAUAUGAGGUGAUAUGGUUUGGCUCUGUUCCCCACCCAAAUCUCAUCUCGAAUUGUAAUCCUACGAUCGCCACGUGUCAAGGGCAGAAACUGGUAGGAGGUGAUUGGAUCGUGGGGGCAGUGUGCUGUUCUCGUGAUAGUGAGUGAGUUCUCACGAGAUCUGAUGAUUUUAUAAAGGGCUCUUCCCCUUUCGCCAUUCACUCUGUCCUGCUGCCUUGUGAAGAAGGUGUCUGCUUCCUCUUCACCUUCUGCCAUGAUUGUCAGUUUCCUGAGGCCUUCCCAGCCAUGCUGAACUGUGAGUCAAUGAAACCUCUUUCCUUUAUAAAUUACCCAGUCUCGGGUAUUUCUUUAGAGCAGUGUGAGAAUGGACUAACACGAGGCUUCGCUGGUCUCUCAUGACCAACCCAAAAGGCAAGGUCAGCUUCCAUGUCUCAAUGGCCUUCCAGUGAGGCCCCUCACAGCUAACUGACCAGGGCAGGGGUCUCCUUGGUCCAGCUGAGAUCAGGGCCUGGCUCCGGCCCAUGCCUGUGGUAAGAGUGGGACUAUCCCUUGUGGAGCUGACAAGGGCUGACUCUCUGUAAGGGUGGCUAAGGCACUACUGGCCACUCUGGUGCCCCAGGAUGGCACAGGCAGGUCAGAACCUGGCUGUCACUCCAGGCCAGCCUUCUGCCACUGACUGGAAAGGUGGGCUCAAACACAACUGCAGUUAAAAGAGAGGAAUUGCCCCGGAGGUGAAUGCAGUCACCUGCAUAGGGGAAAAGGAGGUGAGAGGCCUGCUCUACUCCCCCUGAUCAGAUGCCAUCCAAGGGCACAUGGCUGACAUGUUUGAAGAAAAACCCAGAGUCAACUCAGAGCCCAACUCAGGCCUGAUAAAAAGUGACUAUGAUGAUGAAGAGAUUCAAAAUUAUGCUGCAGAAGGAAUGGCUGGAGGGUCUAGGCGUAUUUCACCUGGAAAGAGGAAGCUUUAAAGGAGAUGUGAGUCUUUUGUCCAAAUGUGUAGACUGACUAAAUUCUUUAAAGAGUUUUAUGUUUGUGUAUAUCUGAAGGGUCCAGAACUAGCAUCAAAGGGUAGAAUUUAGAGGGAGGAAGACUUUGGAUUAAAAUUAGGGGCCACAUACUUUCUGUGAGGGUAUCUUGAUAUUGGCUGCCCUGUCACAUUUAAGAAAGGAUGGGAUGAUCAUUCGUAAGAGAAGCUGUAGAGCUGAUCCACAAACUAAGGGAGUUCUGAAGUCUAUUCUAGUUUGGAAUUCUAUGGCUCUGCUGCAGGUGCAUCUGGUUGGCUGGAUUGAUUGCUAUCACAGGGGCAGAGGCCACUGUGUAUGAUCACUUAGGUCAGUGAAAUCAGUAGAGGCCAAGCGGCUGCACCACUGGAGGACAGCAGGUUGCCCUGAUCCUGAAUCCCUUCAACACUGGGCCUUCUCACAUCUGUUUGAGACAAGCCACUUUCAGCUGAGAUGCACUAGAUCCUUCAAGCCUCUCUACCACCCACAGGGUCACCAUCUGCUGGAGCGGCCAGUGGGGCUGCAGGUUACCCAUCAAAGCCCAAGCUAUGAAAUUGUCAUUGAGAGGAGUGCUUUAGACAUAGAGCUCAUUUGGUGGCAGAGAUCAGAAGCUUGUUCAAAGCAGCCUGGAAUUUUUAAAAGAAUAAGGGAAACAUGUAAAGGCAGCUUGCAGUCUAUCUGAGAAAACAAGACAUACCCUCAAGCAGAUAAUUGCCAUUUACAGUCAUUCCUAUGAUCUCAGCACUAUGUGGGUUUAAUCAGCCUUCUGCUAAAAGGAACCAGGUCCAAGACAUUCAGCAUGGCAUGGUAGCUAAGCAAGAUCCAGUGUCUUCAUUCAGCACUGACAGAGUCACUGUCUCUGAGCAGUACUUAGCUACAGAAACUUUGAAGCCUUCUGCAAUUUAUUAUGCUGAGUGCAUCUAAUCAACAUGUAGAAUAAAGAUGGAGCUCCAGAGAAGUUAGCACGCAAUCUGGGUGACAGGUGCUGAGCAAGGACAGCCUCUUCCCAAUACUCUCCAAGCGGCCUGCUGUUUCCAGGGAAUGAUAUUAUCAUUCUUGGCAUCUAGAACAGGACUCAAUGUAAGAUUGUCUAAGGCAGUCACUGGCUACAGUUCAUGGAAGCUUCAGGACGGCACUUGGCAUGAGCUCUCAGUGCUAUGGAAAAAAGAAGCUCUUAGGUGGAAUAUUUCUAGCUAAAAAAUGUAUAGUUUUUUUUGUUGUUGUUUCUGUUCCUUUCAUUUUUAUUUUUAGAAAUAGGAUUUCAAAGGGCAUUUGUCCUGGUCCCUCAGGAAAGAACAUUUUCUAAAGUGUUCCCAUCAACAAUGCCUCAGGUGUUACAGGUCCCUACUCUUGGCCAUCCAGCUCUGCCACCGUGCCUGGAUUCUGCAUUUUCAAAGGGACCAGCUUACCAGCAGCAUCCUCUUCCUGCUGCCUCUUGACUCACACAGAUCCCAUCAAUAAGCAUUCACUGAGGCCUGCUCUAAGUGAGGCUCUGGGGAGAGUGCUGUGGGAGCUUCAAGAGCAAUAGCAGCCCUGAGCUCCAGGAGCUUCCCCUCUGAGGUGGGGAAUUGCGAUGCAUGGAACAUCUCCAACACACAAAGCAGACUCUUGCUAGGCUUCGAACUGGAAUUGCAUUGAUCGUAUUAACUUGGGGGAGAUCUGAUAUAUUUAAAAGAAAAAAAUAAGCCGGGCAUGGCGGCUCACGUCUGUAAUCCCAGCACUUGGGGAGACUGAGGUAGGUGGAUCAUUUGAGGUCAGGAGUUUGAGACCAGCCUGGCCAACAUGGUGAGACCCCGUCUCUACUAAAAAUACAAAAAUUAGCCGGGCGUGGUGGGUGCCUGUAAGCCCAGCUACGUGGGAGGCUGAGGCAGGAGAAUCGCUUGAACUUGAGAGAUGGAGGCUGCAGUGAGCUGAGAUCAUGCCACUGCACUUCAGCCUGGGUGACAGAGUGAGACUCUGUCUCAAAAAAGAAAAAAAAAAAAAAAGAAAAAAAUAUAGGCGAUGGAACAGAAAAGUGGGCAGUGGCUAUGAAGAUGCAAUCCAAAUAUAAGGUAAUACUUAUCACCAAAGAAAUAGCAAUUAAGACAACAGUGAGACAGCAUCUUGUGUCUGUCAGAUUGGAGGAAAAAUACUAAAUUGAAUAAUGUGAAUUGUUGUUGAGGAUUGUGGAACUAGCCUUCCAUGAAACGUUUCUAGAAGUCUAAAUGAGUGUAGACACUCCAGAGAGCAAUCUGGCGGUAUUUAGCAAUCCCAUACCUGGGCAUAUAACUUGGACAAACUCUGAUUAUAACAGACUAGGCCCAAGGAUAUGUUUAUUGCAGUAUUAUUGGUGGUAGUGAUGAGUUGGAGGCAAUAUAAGUUUCUACCACAAGGAGGGUUGAUAUGAGCGUUUGAUGAAUAGUAUGCAGUAGUCAGAAUAAUAAAACAGAUGUACACUCAGCAUGGAGAAAUCUGAAUAAGAUACUGUUGGCUGAUGACAGUAAGACAUGGAUUGAGAUAUAUAGUAGAGUGUCAUUUAUAUAAAUUCAAAACACGUGCACAAGAUGAUCAUGUCUCUAGUAGCUACAAAAGUGCUUGAUACAGAGUAGGCCUUCAGUAAAUUGUUUUACUUGUUGUCAAUAAAAAUAUAUAUACUAAAUAAAUAUCUAACAUUUAUGUAAGUUAAGAAUACAUAGACAUAUACAUAUUUUAAGGGUAUAUACAAAUGCGAAACAUAAUUUAAGGGUACGGCUCUUCUGGAUAGUCCAGCGUUCAAAUGGAGUUCUCUGGAGUGAAGUAAAAUUAAUUCACAAACCUCUGUUGCAUCCAAGGUCAAAUACUCUCACGAACACCCACUCUCUGUUCCCUGGUUUAAUACUCACUGAGUAACAUUCUGAAGCCUGAGACUUUUAUACAUACCCAGUUUCCAGAAAAGGCACAAAGAAGCUUUCCCCAAAAGAAAAUACAUGAAUAUUCCAUUUAUUUAAAAACAUCCGAGCAGGUCUAAGCAAUAUAAAUUAAUAUAGCAGCAUCAGUGUCUUGUGAGUUAAGACGAGUGUCCUAAGAUUUAGUUGCUUAACUGAUUCCUCUAUGUCCCUAAAUCAAAUGAUGAAAUACAGAUUUAGGUUCCAUUUUUUUGAAAGAAUACUUCAUAGGUCAUUCUGUCUACUUCCUACUGCACCACAUUUAGGAGGGAGGCACAUCAUGUGUGGUUGUCUCUUUAGUAAUUCUGAGAUUGGUCAAGGGGUCCAGGUGGUGUCUGACCUUAUUCCAUCAUUACAAAAGAAGUCACCAUCUACUUUUUACCUAGUGGUUUCAGUAUCUUUGGAUAAUCACUGCCCGGAUUUAUCAAGGUUUGCAAAAUGAUUUUCUAAUUCUGUGGUUCCUUCUAUACACAUUAGCUGGGAUUCUUCAAAAUGUAACUUACAAAACAAACAAAAUCACUAUCAAGACUUGACAUUCCUUCUUCCAUAUCAAUUUUCAGAAUAGUGAUAAAAGUUACCAGUAAUGAUUUCUAGUGGAGACCAAUAUGUUUUUCUCAUCAUUAUAUACUUUUUUUUUUUUUUGAGACAGAGUCUUGCUCUGUCACCAGGCUAGAGUGCAGUGGUGUGAUCUCUGCUCACUGCAACUUCCGCAUCCUGGGUUCAAGCAAUUCUCCUGCCUCAGCCUCCCAAGUAGCUGGGACUACAGGUGCACACCACCACGCCCAGCUGAUUUUUGUAGUUUUAGUAGAGACAGGGUUUCACCAUAUUGGCCAGGAUGGUCUCGAUCUCUUGACCUCGUGACCUGCCCACCUCAGCCUCCCAAAGUGCUGGGAUUACAGGCAUGAGCCACUGCGCCCAGCCCAUAAAUUUUUAUAUAUUUGAUGAGGUUGAAUUAAUUGCCAUCAUUAUUCUCUUUUCUCUCUCUCUUUAGGAUCCUUAAACAGCUUAUAUUCAAUAAACUGCAUAUGUUUAAAUGGCACACUUUGUAAAGUUUGGUGAUACUGUACAGUCACAAAAGCAUAAUCAAUGUAGCAAACAUAUCUAUUGUAAUCUAAAAUGUCCUUGUGCCUUUUUUAACCUCCUGCUCCUCCUCCAUACUAUAUCCCCAGGCGACCUCUGAUUUACUUUAUGUUGGAAUUUUUGAGAAAUUCAUACAAAUGGCAUUAUUUAGUAUGUACUCUUUGUGUCUGACUGCUUUUACUCAGCAUAAUUAUUUUGAGAUUCAACAUGUUGUCUGUAUCAAUACCUUUAAUUGUCAAGUGGUAUGCUAUUGUAUGACUAUGUCACAAUUGUUUAGCCAUCGAUGAACAUUUGGGUCGUUUCCAGUUUGGGGUUACUACAAAUAAAGCUGCUAAGAACAUUUUUAUAUAAAUCUUUGUGCAGACAUAGAUUUUAUUUCUAUGGGAUAAAUACCUACUAGUGGAAAGGCUACAUCAGAUAGUAGGGUAUAUACUUAACUUUUCAAAAAAAACUGCAAAUGUGCUUUCCAUAGAAGUGCUAUUGCACAUUUCUCCUGAGCAUGAGAAUUUCAAUUCUUCCCCAUUCUCUCCAAUAUUUAGUAUGGUCAGACCUUAUAAUUUUAUCCAUUUUAAUAGGAGUAUAUUAUGGUUUGAAUGUGUCCCCUCCAAAAUUCAGGUGUUGACAUUUAAUGGCCAAUGUGAUAGUAUCAAGAGAUAGGACCUUUAAGAGGUGGUUAGGUCCUGAGGACUCCUCACUCAUGAAUGGGAUUAAGAGAUUUCGUGCAGCUUUUGACUCCCUUGCCCUUUCACCUUUCACCAUGUGAGGACACAGUGUUCCUCCCCUCCAGAGGACGCCACAACUGGGCGCCAUCUGGGAAGCAGAGGGCAGUCCUCAAUAGACAAAGGAACCUGCCAGCAUCUUGAUCUGGGACCUUGCAGCCUCCAGAAACUAUGAGAAAUACAUUUUUGUUCUUUGAUAAAUUACCCAGUCUUCUGUAUUUUGUUAUGGCAGCACAAAAAGAACUGUGACACUGUGUACAUGUACUUAAUCGUGGUUUUACAGCAGUCUCCCUUUCUCUGCUGUUUCACUUUUUUGUUGUUUGUUUGUUUUGAGAUGGAGUCUCGUUCUUGUCGCCCAGUCUGGAGUGCAAUGGCGUGAUCUCGGCUCACCGCAACCUGUCCUCCUGGGUUCAAGCAAUUCUUCUGCCUCAGCCUCCGAAGUAGCUAGGCUUACAGACACGUGCCACCACACCCUGCCAAUUUUUGUAUUUUUAGUAGACAGGCUGUUAGGCAGGCUGGUCUUGAACUCCUAACCUCAGGUGAUCCGCCCACCUUGGCCUCCCAAAGUGCUGGGAUUACAGGCAUGAGCCACCGCACCCAGCAUGCUGAUUCACUUUCUGCAGUUUCAGUUACCCACAGUCAACCAUGGGCCAGAACAUAGUUACACUGCCACAAGUUGUGGAUGGGAGGGCUGGAUUUCCUGAACCCUUCCCAGCAUUGCUCGAGUUUCUUGGUUCCUCCGCUAGAGAAGAGGAGCCCCAGAGCUCUGUAGGCUCCAGAAAAGUGCCCAAAUCAUAAGCAGACAUCUCAUUGGAUUUACUGAGCACACCCAGGUAUCCACCACCCAAGGGAAGCAACGAAGGUGACCCCACCCAGCAUUUACCCUGUGUCCCUAUCUUGGACAUUGAUUCUGCUCCAGAGGUCACAAUCUCAUGCCGCCAAUUGCCAUAGAUUCGUUUUGCUUGGUCUUAAACUUUAUAUAAAUGAAAAUUCAACUUUAUGCUGUCUACAAGAGGCAUACUAACUCAUAAAAAUUAAAAGACUGACCCAGAAAACACAGCAAAAAGAAAAAUAUCACGAAAUGAUUGUCAGUCCAAUUAAAAUUCAAGACUGGAAGAAUUCAUGGGUCAGAGAAGCAGGCAGGCUAGGCUGGCCCACUUUAGCCUAAAUCCCGGGAUCCAGCAAGCAUUCAUCUCACAUAGCUCGGGUUUUACUGAGUUGGUUCCUCUGCCUGCUUCUCUGACUUGUUUACCCGUGGAGUACACGAGAACUACAACCCCCAGCAUGCACUGCGAACAGCUGGUACAAGUGGAUCUGCUCGGCACCUAUAACCUAAUUACCUCUCAGGCUCACACAAGUCUCUGGCCGCUAAGCGAAUGAUCUCCCAAAGGGAUUAUUCUCAAGCAGCACAGAAACUGUCCCUAUGCCUCAGGUGGCCCCAGAACUCUUUCGUACUAGAGACUUAUCUGUUAAUAAAGUUAACAAAGGAAAGUGGCCUUCCAAGAAUGUUUGUUUGGGCCACUACCUGGAAGAAAUAACACUUGACCAUGAGAGACUUGGCUGAGCAGUGCUGGGUCAGCUUAACCAAAGAAGACCAGCCAUCACCCACGGCAAGAGCAGCUCUGACUUGGACCCACUGUUCCCCCAGCCUGUUAGCAGCCUGUGAACAAUCUUUAAGUGACCCCUGGCCCUGUCACAUCUCCAUUCAACAGGGUUCUUGGGGAGGAUGUGUGGACCGAGAACAGUGCCCACCCACACCACCUGUAAGUGUGGCCACGGCAGCCAGCCAGCAUGGAUGCUAAGUAACAAGUGGUAUUGGGGCACAGAUGUGGCGGGAGCGCUUUGGGGCAAAGAAAGAGGUGCUGUGAGUGAGGACAGAAAGGAAGGGGAAAAAAAAGCCUCAUGGGUUAGAGCGCCUCUCACCUUUGGCUCUUCUUCAGAAGACUGGUAAAAGAAAACAAGAAGAGAAAUUGGUUUCCCUGACUUCUCUAAAGCAAGCGUUCUUCAGAAAAGAGAAUCGAUCAGCCUGGUUAAAGUGGAUAAACUAUGUGAUGUCCAUCCAGAGAGGUGUCUAUUAAUGGCUGUAAAAUGGAAAGAUGAAUCAAUGGGACCGAUUAAUAUUUAUGAAGAGUUGAACUAGGCAGAGUGAAAAAGCCUUGUAUAUUGGAUAAGAAAGGAAAAGCAUUGCACACCAUAGGAUGCGUUUGUUUGGCUAAGGUUUCUGUUUUGAUCACUGGGUAAUUGUAUAGAGCAGGGGCGUAUGGUAGAGAAAGAAAAUCUAUAUCUAGAAGUUAUUGACUUUAUGUACAAAAGCACUGGUUGGUGCCUAUUUUUGAGGACCACUCCAUCUUAAAAAUAACUUUGGUUUUGUACGGCCUAGUUGUGGUGGAAAAGGAGCUCCAAAGAGUAAGCAAGUUUCCUACAAAAAGAAUCCAAGCUGUUGAAACUACAAUUAAGAAAUGCAAAGAGUUACUAAUUUUACUACUUAGAGGAAAGGAAAUUCACAAGCAGGAAAGAAACUGUGGAUCAGGGCAAGUUGUAACUCUAGAGGUUCAGAGAUAGGAGCUCUAAUUACACCAGGGCAAGGGAGUACUGUUUGGGGAAAUUUCUGAAACAUGAAAUAGGAAAGCUGAGGGUCAAAAUGAUAUUGUGAUGUGAAUAAAUAGAGAAGACAUGUUUGCAUGGAGCUCAGCUGGGUAAUCAUGGAAAGAAGGAGGGGCGAAGGAGGAAACUGAAAAUCGAAAUAAAGAACAGAAGCACAGACCAUGAAAUAUGCCAAAUAUAGUGUGCAAAUACUCAGAAGGCAUGGAAAGAUAAGUUAGAAGCCAAAACUCAGUUAUCACUAUCGUGUGAAGGAACAAUAAAACUCUUAGCAAAAACAAAUGACUUAGCAUGAGACCAAUACUGCUUUCCUUAGGUAGCUUGGUCCAGAGGGAAAAGGCUGAUAUCACUCCCUAUCAAGGGUUUUUAGACGGUUUAAGUGAGCUCUGCAAGUGGGAGACACGGUGAUGAUUAUUGACAGUUGCUAUCUUUCAAGGGGGAGAAGCAAACUGAUGUUACACAUUAGAAUUAGUUAGCACCACCGAACACAGGUUACAAAAAUACUGGGAGGAAUUCUCUCUCCUGAGCACAUUACGCAAUAUUUGCAAAUGUGUGCAGGUAAGUGUUGACUCUCUCAUCAUGCUGGACCUGGAAAUGGUUCUCAGCAAAUCAUGGCAUGAUUUCUUUUUCAAAGUUGGGUACACGAAUAUUAUCGUAACCAGCUAAGAGCAGGGAGACGUGGCAUGGGAGACUAACAGAUAGUGCAGCUUUUAAGAGAAGACGUAGAAAUCAAUCUAGUAACAAAUAUUUAUUAAGCAUUGGAGUGUGCUAGGCACCAAGAGAAAAGAAACCUCCACAGCUGAUAAAGCCUUUCAAAAUAAUGUCCUCAGUUAAUUUGCACAUUUCCAUGAGGUAGGUGUUGUUAGCCAUUUCCGUUAAUGAGAAAAAAAAAAAUGAGAUUCAGAAAGGUUAAUUAAAUUGGAGAUCUCCUGAUUUUUUAGUUUUAUAUCCUUCCCGUGUCCUUUCCAGGCUUAUAUUCUGGUCCUAUCACUUCUCAGCUGAGUUACUUCAACAAGUUAUUUAUUCUCUGUGUUCCCAGCUGUCAAAAUGAAAAUGCCAGUACCCACCUGGUAAGGAGUGAGAGAACAUUUAUAAAAAUGCUCGGCUGGGUACCUGACACAUAGGAGGUCCUCAGUAAAUUUGUUUUCUCCCUUUCUUCCUGAAGUACGGUGGCAGAGGGAUUCAGCCAGCCAGCCUGGGUAGCACAAGCCAUGAUGCCCUGCUGAAUCUGUGUUCUAGGGUCGGACAGGGGGAGUCCUUUUGCCUAGAGGGAUGGUGUGCGAGGCCUAAGAGGACUUGGGCAGAGUCUUGAAGGACGAGCAGGAUUUGCUGUGGUGGAGAGGUGGUCACGGGUUGAGCAGAUAGGAGAACCAAGGAAUCAAGGCAGGGAAAGAGAGGGGAUGCAUGUGAAGGGCCAGGAGCUGUUAACUAGUUUGCUAAGCAGCAGGCGAGGAUUUAGAAGGAGUUGGAGAAGUGUGGAGGGAGCUGAGGCUCUUGUGAGGGGAACUUUUAUGCUAAGGGUUCCAACUUGGCCCUGUGAAUGAAGGUGAGCUGGGGAAGGUUUGUGAACUUGGAGUCUCACCUGUAAAAGAUUAAUCUGGUGCCAGUGUACAGAAUGGACCGUCAAGGAAGAGGUGGAAAAACAAGGAAAAUUUGUAUUUUAUAGACACACACACACAUAGACACAGAGCCCUUUUUAUUAGAAAACAUAUAAUCAACUUAACCCCAUUUUAAAUGGCUUGGACAUUAAUUUUACUCUUGUAAUUGAUUAUAGAGGUUUAAAACUGUUGUGUUUUUGCCUUUGUGACAUAUUAUGGCUGUAUCUAAAAUUUAUUUGAUGUUAAAUCAAGAACAAAACUCUUCAAUUCUAUUGUUGUUCCUAAGGUAAAAUAUAAUCUACUUUGAGUCAAUUCACUGUGUCAUAAACUUUCCAGGAAUGGGAAACUUGAUAAAAAGCAGAGACUCACUGCAUAUGACAAUAAUUAAAUCUAUAUUCAACAAGUAUAAAAGAAUGGUUGUAGGGGUGAGCAAUUUGGAAGAAAAAAAGCCACUUGACUUAAAUAUGACAGAAAAUCAUACUGAGGUCUGACACCCCAUGACCUUUUUUGAGAUUUGAGGUUAUGCCAUGUAUUUGAGAAUAAAUAAAAUCCAUUUAAGUGUCUAUAUUAUUAAAUGAAUCGUAUUUUCAGAAAGCAUUAGAUAAAGUCUGUUUUAGACCUUGGAAUCCAUUUUUCUCAUGAACACAAUAUCGUAAAUAGAUGAGAAUUGAGUUCCCAGUCUAUAAAACCCUUAUUAAAUCAUCAUGUAGCUGAACUAUUCUAUAUUGGCAAUCAAUAGAGUUGAGUAAUCUUUUCAUAGUCACAGUGAUAAAAAAACAAAAAAUAUUGAAGAAGUAAUUUUUCAAAAAAUAGAGGUAUAGCACGUUUAAUUAUGGAUUAAGAGGCCGAUAAAUAAUUUUGUGGUGAUUCUGAAGAGACUAUCUGGGCACUUUCAAAAGCUUUAGAGUUGAUAAACUGUUCUUAUUAUGUCUAAUUUAAUAUUCAAAAUUUAUGACCAUUCAUUCAUUCAUCAAACAUAACUUAGAUAUCUACAAUAGGUAUUGUGCUAGCCGCUGGAGAUUUCAAUGUAAUGAAACAGUUCCUAACUUAAAGAAAAGCAGCACUUGAAAUUUUACUAAUGCAUUCAGUCAUUUACUUAACAGAUACUGAAUGUUUGCUACCGUGAGUCUAUUAUUCCUAUGCGUAUCAACUCCCAGGAAGCAUGUGUAGCUCGCUGAUGGAAUACAGAGAAAUAUUCCUGAGAGAAUACCAAAAAUAGUCCGUUUGUGCUACUAAAACAAAAUGGCUGAGACCGAGUAGCUAGCUUAUAAAGAACAGAAAGCUAUUUUCUCACAGUUCUGGAGGCUGGGAAGUCCAAGAUAAAAGCACCAACGGGUUUGGUUGUCUGGCAAAGGCUUCUCUCUGUUUCCAAGAUGGUGCCUUGUUGCUGUGUCCUCCAGAGGGAAGGAAUGCUGUGUCUUCACAUGGCAGAAGGCUGAAGGGCAAGUGAGCUAACACUGUGUGAAGCUUAUUUUAUAAGGACCUUAAUCCCAUUCAAGAGGGAG